CCUACGGGAGGCAGCAGUAGGGAAUCUUCCGCAAUGGACGAAAGUCUGACGGAGCAACGCCGCGUGAGCGAAGAAGGUCUUCGGAUCGUAAAGCUCUGUUGUUAGGGAAGAACAAGUACCGGAGUAACUGUCGGUACCUUGACGGUACCUAACCAGAAAGCCACGGCUAACUACGUGCCAGAUCCGCGGUAAU
rnacentral:rRNA from 1 species